rnacentral:lncRNA from 1 species
UGGGACAGGGAGUGGAGAGUGACAGCCCAAGGACCAGGAUGGAGGUGUGGGAUGGGGAGUGGAGAGUGACAGCCCAAUGUCCAGGUUGGAGGUGUGGGGACAGGGAGUGGAGACUGACAGCCCCAGGUCCAGGAUGGAGGUGUGGGGAAAGGGAGUGGAGAGUGACAGCCCGAGGUCCAGGAUGGAGGUGUGUGGGACAGGGAGUGGAGAGUGACAGCCCGAGGUCCAGGAUGGAGGUGUUUGAGAGUGAGUGGAGAGUGACAGCCCGAGGUCCAGGAUGGAGGUGUGGGGGAGGGAGUGGAGAGUGACAGCCCCAGGUCCUGGAUGGAGGUGAGGGAGAGGGAGUGGAGA